rnacentral:rRNA from 1 species
UGGAGGAAAGCAGGGGAUCGCAAGACCUUACGCUUUUGGAGCGGCCGAUGUCUGAUUAGCUAGUUGGUGAGGUAAAGGCUUACCAAGGCUUCGAUCAGUAGCUGGUCUGAGAGGACGACCAGCCACACUGGGACUGAGACACGGCCCAGACUCCUACGGGAGGCAGCAGUGGGGAAUUUUGGACAAUGGGGGAAACCCUGAUCCAGCCAUGCCGCGUGAGUGAAGAAGGCCUUCGGGUUGUAAAGCUCUUUCAGCCGGAACGAAACGGUUACGAUUAAUACCUGUAACUACUGACGGUACCGGAAGAAGAAGCACCGGCUAACUACGUGCCAGCAGCCGCGGUAAUACGUAGGGUGCGAGCGUUAAUCGGAAUUACUGGGCGUAAAGCGUGCGCAGGUGGUUUUGUAAGUCAGAUGUGA